rnacentral:rRNA from 1 species
CCUACGGGGGGCAGCAGUGGGGAAUAUUGCACAAUGGGCGCAAGCCUGAUGCAGCCAUGCCGCGUGUGUGAAGAAGGCCUUCGGGUUGUAAAGCACUUUCAGCGGGGAGGAAGGCGGUGAGGUUAAUAACCUCAUCGAUUGACGUUACCCGCAGAAGAAGCACCGGCUAACUCCGUGCCAGCAGCCGCGGUAAUACGGCGGGUGCAAGCGUUAAUCGGAAUUACUGGGCGUAAAGCGCACGCAGGCGGUCUGUCAAGUCGGAUGUGAAAUCCCCGGGCUCAACCUGGGAACUGCAUUCGAAACUGGCAGGCUAGAGUCUUGUAGAGGGGGGUAGAAUUCCAGGUGUAGCGGUGAAAUGCGUAGAGAUCUGGAGGAAUACCGGUGGCGAAGGCGGCCCCCUGGACAAAGACUGACGCUCAGGUGCGAAAGCGUGGGGAGCAAACAGGAUUAGAUACCCGGGUAGUC